rnacentral:rRNA from 1 species
GUAGGUGGCAAGCGUUGUCCGGAAUUAUUGGGCGUAAAGCGCGCGCAGGCGGUUCUUUAAGUCUGAUGUGAAAGCCCACGGCUCAACCGUGGAGGGUCAUUGGAAACUGGAGAACUUGAGUACAGAAGAGGGAAGCGGAAUUCCACGUGUAGCGGUGAAAUGCGUAGAGAUGUGGAGGAACACCAGUGGCGAAGGCGGCUUUCUGGUCUGUAACUGACGCUGAGGCGCGAAAGCGUGGGGGAGCAAACGGGAUUAGAUACCCUGGUAGUCCACGCCGUAAACGAUGAGUGCUAAGUGUUAGGGGGUUUCCGCCCCCCUUAGUGCUGCAGCUAACGCAUUAAGCACUCCGCCUGGGAGUACGGCCGCAAGGCUG